rnacentral:rRNA from 1 species
GACGAACGCUGGCGGCGUGCUUAACACAUGCAAGUCGAACGGAAAGGCCCUGCUUUUGUGGGGUGCUCGAGUGGCGAACGGGUGAGUAACACGUGAGUAACCUGCCCUUGACUUUGGGAUAACUUCAGGAAACUGGGGCUAAUACCGGAUAGGAGCUCCUGCUGCAUUGUGGGGGUUGGAAAGUUUCGGCGGUUGGGGAUGGACUCGCGGCUUAUCAGCUUGUUGGUGGGGUAGUGGCUUACCAAGGCUUUGGCGGGUAGGCGGCCUGAGAGGGUGACCGGCCACAUUGGGACUGAGAUACGCCCCAGACUCCUACGGGAGGCAGCAGUGGGAAAUAUUGCACAAUGGGCGGAAGCCUGAUGCAGCAACGCCGCGUGCGGGAUGACGGCCUUCGGGUUGUAAACCGCUUUCGCCUGUGACGAAGCGUGAGUGACGGUAAUGGGUAAAGAAGCACCGGCUAACUACGUG